rnacentral:lncRNA from 1 species
UUGACGCUCCUUUACACCUAGAUAGAAGUCCAUCAUAACCCAACAAACACACAAGCCUCGUCAGUCACUCGUCUCCUAUUAAAAAUGCAAUCCGCACCAACCUGAACCGACAAGAGAACACUGCUACUACCACAAUAGGAAAAGGAGACUGCACCUGAAGUCCAAGCUCCGUCUCGCCGUACUAGAUCUGAACCAAGACUCCAAAUCGACUCUGAAGACACCAAGAGAUAUCACCGGCGUUCAAAACAAAUCUUUUCACCCCUCCUCACCUUAAAUCACGAUGGUAAUGCCCAGAAAAACUGCAC